rnacentral:rRNA from 1 species
GAACGACUCUCGGCAACGGAUAUCUCGGCUCUCGCAUCGAUGAAAAACGUAGCGAAAUGCGAUACUUGGUGUGAAUUGCAGAAUCCCGUGAACCAUCGAGUCUUUGAACGCAAGUUGCGCCCGAGGCCUCCUGGUCGAGGGCACGUCUGCCUGGGUGUCACGC